UUUUAUCUAACAAUUGCUAACCUCCACUGAUUACAUAUAUCACAAGUAAUAUUUUGUAUUUCUGCACCUUUGAUGCCUUUUAUAUCUGAUUUAUCUCUUGACAACAUAGGCAAUGCCAUCGAUUAAGACCCUCACCUUCAAUAUUAUGAGCUCGCUUAUUAUUGGGAUAGAGGAAAGUGCAAAAAGAGACAUACUCCUACAGCUCUUCGAACAACUGAUGGAGGGUGUUCUAUCAGUACCAUUCAAUUUUCCCUUCACACGAUUCAAUCGAAGCCUCCAAGCAAGUGGGAAAAUCAGACCGAUUUUAGAGGAUCUUAUCCGAGAAAAAAGAGCUGCACUGGAGCAUGGAACUGCCUUUCCUCAACAAGAUCUUAUCACGACCUUGCUUGUCUCCGAAACGAGGAGAAUUCAGCAGUAUUAACUGAUGAGGAAAUUAUAGAUAAUGCAAUCGUGAUAAUGAUAGCAGGCUAUGACACCUCCUCCGUCCUCCUCAGUUUGUUGAUCAGGCUUUUAGCCGAUGAUCCAUCUAUUUAUGCCAGCAUCCUUCAAGGUAUGUAACUAAAUUGAUUCAAUAAAAACCAAAUAAUAUUGCAAGAAAUCAUAGCAAACACUACGAUUUGAGAUUGCAGAACAAGCAGAGAUUUCCAAGAAUAAAGCCUCUGGGGAGCUCUUAACAUGGGAUGAUCUCACAAGAAUGAAACAUACAUGGAGUGUAGCAUCGGAGACCCUAAGGAUGACCCCUCCUGUAUUUUUUAUCUUCAGGAAGGUUCUCAAAGAUUUUGAAUAUGAAGGGUACCUGAUACCCAAAGGAUGGCAGGUGUGAUAUGAUUCUGAGCUUGCAUACCUUAUCAUUAAUAUAGUUUAACCAAAACACUUCAAAACAUAUAUAAUGCUGUACAAAGUUACCACUUUUUUGACUCAGGUAAUGUUGUCGACCAUCAUGACACAUAUGGAUGACAGCAUCUUCCCACAUGCAUCAAGAUUUGAUCCAGAACGUUUCCAGAAUAAAGCAUCAGUCCCGCCGUAUAGUUUUGUAUCAUUCGGGGGAGGAGCACGCAUAUGUCCUGGAUUUGAAUUUGCAAGACUUGAAACUCUGAUCACAAUACAUUACCUGGUGAACAGGUUCGUUUGGAAGCUCUGUCACCCUGGCAUUUCUUUUUCAAGAGAUCCAUUUCCACUCUUCAAGGAUGGACUGGAGAUAGAAAUUGAACCAAGGACCCCUCUGUGAUAGAUAACUAAAUGCAUGCUCUAAUGUGUGUCUUUAUGUGUGUAUAUAUAUAUAUAUAUAUAUAUAUAUAUAUGCACUCUGUCCUUCAAUUUGCAGAAUGUUCUGUUGAAUAAUUACUUAAAGUUGAAUCCAGAUAUGAGGGAACUUCCAUCUGUGUGUUUGUAGCAUUGCUAAUUGCCGAGCAAUUUCAGAUUUCCUUUUUUUUCAAGUUAAUGAUGUAGGGAAUCGAACAGUCGGAUGUGAAUAUGUUGUAACUGGAGCACGCGGAAAGCUUAGGGUGAACCUUAGGCAUGGUUAUAGGUUUUCUCAACAAGGGAGAGAGAUCGAAAUCCUCUCUUUCUCGAGAUCCCCUGAAUCGCCGCAUCCCCUCUCUCCCGCAACGGGGCUAAAGCUGACGGUCCUAGGUGGUGAAUCACUAAACCGGCGGACACAUCUAUGGAUCAAUGAGACCAUCUAAAUAGCUAAACUAUGCUAUUGAUUUUAGGGGGUGUGAAAAUGGAGAGAGACUUGUUAGGAUUUUUCACAGUUUUGGAUAGUUUCAAGGCAUAUGUGGAUCCUGCUCCCCGCAUCAUCAAGAACUUUCUUGCUUCUCAAGCUGGGACAAAUAAGUUUGAUGAAUGCAUAGACAUUUUUUAGUUUCUCAGACACAAAAACUCUAUGAACAGAACCCAUUAAUUAAAGUGAAAAAAAGAAGAAGAGGAUUUGAUAGAAAAAUCGUUCAAGUGGAUGUUACACUAUUAGGAAAUUGAAAAAAAAAAGCAACGGAAACACCAACGAAAAAUAUUUCAUCACUGUUUACUAUAAAAAUUACAACGCAAAAUUUCCGCUUGUAAUUUCCAGCAGAAAUGGUGACGGAAUAAAAAAAAAUCAUCAACAAUUUCGUCGGCAUUUCUAAAGUGUUAAAUUGCUGACAUAAUUCUCAUAAAAGAUUGUAAAAUGAAUUAAAAACCUGACAAUUCUCUCUUCUCCAUCCCCUCCUCUUUAUCUUUUUUCAUUUCAAUUCAAGCCCUAACCCUAUUAAUUUCUUCAAGUUUUCGACAAGCCCCCUCUAAAAUCUGGUCACCCAACCCGCCAAUGCAACCUCCCUCUCUUAAUUCUAUUUAAUAUCAAGCUUCGCUUCAUUAAGAAAAAAAGUCCAUUUAUUUUUGUUGUAACACCCAUUUAUAUUUAAAGUUAAUUUAUUGAAAUUUGUUUAUAGAAUUUAUAGUUUGCAUGUAUAUUUAAGUAUUUUGUUUGUUUUGUAAUUAUAAUUUUAUUAUAUUAAUAUAUAAUUUGUAUUUUAAAAUUUAUUUGGGAUUUUAAAAAAUAGAUUUAAGAUGUUAAUCGAUGAAAUUGAUUGUUUGGGAUUUCUAUAAAGCUAGUAUCCACAUCAAAUAUUGUUUUUUUGCAUGUUGCUUUUUAUGACCUUCGAAUCCCCACCCUGAAAAUCACACAAGCAAUCAUGUUUCGGUUGCUCUACAUCCUUGUUAGUACCACGAAUAAAUUAUUAGAAUUUGUUUUUGCUAAUAACGCACCCGAAUAUGCAAACAUGGUUAAUGCAUAUUCUCUUUAAUAUUGAUUUUGUUGAUGUAAAUAUAUUUCACUUAAUAAAUUUUUUUUUAAUAUUUAUCAAAUAUUUUAUUAAUGAAUGAAAGUAUAGAUAAAGUUCUUAGAACAAAAAUAUUUUGUAAAUAAAAUUAUCAAGUUAUUAUAAUUAUAAGAUUUUUAUUACAUCAAAAUAUUGUUUCUAAAUAUUCUUGGUAAAUAUUCUAUUAAAACUGGAAAUUAAUUAAAGCUAUUAAGACUUGUACAUAUUAUAUUCUUUCCUUUAUGAAAUAAAACAGUUGUUUUCAUAAGUUAAGAUAUGAUCGAGGGAUACCAAUAACUAAUAUGUAGGUUCUUGUUGGAUAACAUGUACACCAAACUAACUCGCAUGAGAAUUAUAUAUGGAAAGAUCACUUGUGUACAUGGAAGGAUUAUAUGACCGUUGUGUAAGUGAUCCUUAAACUUGAAAUUACUAAGUUAUUUUAUAUAGAGAGUAUUAUGUUUUGAUCUUAUUACAUGUUAUCCUUAUCAAAGGUAACAAAUGAGCAGGUAUUAGGUAUGGCAUGAACUAUAUGAAGAUAUUUAAGUAAUCAAAAGAGGAUUCAUCACUUUAGAUGAAUUGGAAAAAAUAUUCCACGUGUUCUCAAAUAAUAUUGAUUGUAAAUUUUUAUAUAAGGUGGAAUGAGAUUCGAAAAGAGUUUUAAAUCUUAUUCAAAUAAUAAAUGACUAUGAUAUUGAAAACAAACAUGAUUUGAUAUAAUAGAAAAAAAUCACCCAUGUUGUAGUUUCCCUCUUUUUUUUUCCUUCGGAAAGAUGAAUGAGAGAUAAGGGUCAAGUUUUUUUCUUUUUUUUCUCUUACGGUUUAGGGUUAUUAGACUUCACACAAUUUCAUAGGUUACAUUCCUUGAUAUAGUUUAACAUGGAAGCUCUAUGGCUGAGCUUUUUGUUUUUUUAGAAUGUGUUUGGCAUUUUAGUAUCUUUUGCUCUUAUAAUUUGAAUUUUUUUAUAAAAAAAAACUCCAAAUUUAUUAUAUAUUUUGAUUAAUCAACAGUGGUUGCAGAUCUGUUUUAAUUGGAUCAUGUGAAAAAGACAUUUAUAGAUUAGUAGACCAGAUCUAAACCUAAAAAGAGUUUUAGCCAUGUCAAACGACUUGUUUGAUAAAAAAGCUCUUAACUUAGAUUAAGAAACCUUAAAUUAGCCUCUCAAGUUUUUUUUUUUUUCAAUUUCAUCUUUCAACAUUAGAUUGAUUGAGAAUUAAGCUUCAUAAUUUGUUACCGUUUGUUUUCUAUUGAGUUAUUUCAAUCUCAUAACCCAGGUUGAGAUUUUGGCAAGUUAACCCGUGUUAACUCAAAUUGUUUUUUAGGUAUUUUUUUAAUUGAUUUUUUCAAUUUCUUCCUUCAACAUUAGGUUUAUUAGGAAUUAAGCUUCGUAAUUUGUUUUGAUUUAUUUUUUUAUAUUAUGUUUAUUAUGAUCUAAUGACUUAGUAUGCAAAUUAACAAGUUAACAUAGAUUGAUCCGAAUUGUUCAAAUAUGUUGUUGUCUCAAUGUUUAUUUAAAAAAAUCUCAUCUUAAAUAUUUAUUUUGAGUCAAAUUAUAUUUUUAAAGGUUAUUUUGGUUGCUUUUGAGCCCGUCAAGGUAAUCAAGUCACAUCAGAUCAAUUCCCAUAUGAUUUUAAAUUUUUUUCUGCUAAAAAAAAUAUUAGUAAUGCCAAGAUAUUUUUUUACUUUAAUUUUUUUAUCUCAUCCGCAGUAUAGCAAGAGCCAAUUAUCUAGUAAUUAAUUAAACAUCUAAAAGAACUAAUUCCCUUAGUUAGCAUCAUUAUUCAUAUGAAUUGUAAAAUUGCUCCUCAAUAAUUUAUUUAUUUUUAUUUUCAUCUUUUUUUAAAAAAAAAUUAUCCUUAGAUUUUGUUUUAUUUAAUUCUUUCUUGAUAUAAUUUCAUGAGAUAAAGUUUUAAAUUGUAGUAGAAAAUAAAAUUAAAAGAUAGAAUAUUACAUUAUAAAUCAUGGAGAAAAUACAUGGCCAAUCUUUUUAGAAAUUUUAUUUUGAUCUAAAAAUUUAUUUUAUUUAUUUUUGUAGUCUUUGAGUUUGAGAAAAGAGAAAGAAACUUGUUGAAAAGCGGUAAAAAAUAGAAAAAAAUAUCGAUUAACCACAUUUAGCCACACAAAAAAAAAAUCUUUGUCAAUAGAUUUAUCUUCUCAAGAAUAAUUUAAUGAAGAUAGUUUGUUUAAAAAUAUAACAAAAAAAAAUAGAUUGAGUUUUUAUUUAUUUAUUUUAAUUCAAUUAAUUUUUAUAUUUUAAAGUGAUUUUAGAAUAUGUGGGGGUUAUCAAGAGCUUUUUUAAGAUGUGCAUUAAAGUGAAAUGAGUUAAAAUUGAGUUUUUGGAAUAUGAAAACAUGUACCUUUUGUGAUAAUUAUUGGAGGCGGCUGGAAAAAUACCAAUCGCCUUCCCCUAUAGACAACUUGUUGCUCGCAUUGAAAAGAAGAAAAUACAAAAGCGGACAGAGACAUUAUGGUUCACAUAAUUACUAAAGCAUUGGGAUGAGAUUAUUACAUCUUACAUCGUUAGAUGCUUUAAUACUCUGUUCUCAAAGGGCUCACUUUGUUGUUUUGUUGAUUAUUGUAAAAUCUCUACGCAUUUUCAACGAUUCCUGUGUCCACCUGUAUAAUACAUAGACUCUGUAUUGUCGGGAUUUCUAAGGUUUCUCAAUGAGUAAUAAUCUAAAAAUAGUUGUCUUGCAACGUUAUGUACAUGAGAGCUACACCAGAAAGGAAAGAGGAUCCAUGCACCUGAGCUGGUCCUUGGAAGUUACUCGGUGAUAAGAGAUGUCUGCUAAUGCGAUUAUGCCACCUUUUUUAGUACAGAAUCUCCAAAAGCUCUAGACAUUGCUAAGCCUAGAGAAUCUUCAUGAGGUGUAGCCAGACUCGAUGGACGUGUAGCUCUUCCUCUAGUUCAAGUACUCUGCCAUUACAUUUUCUUAUUUUUUCUGCUUCGCCUGGAUUAUAAGAGGAUCCAAUUGAAAAAAUGAGUUGCAUAUGAUCAUGAAAAAUCUGUAGUUAAUUGAACAGGCACGAUUCCAUUCUGAUCAUUGAUUCUGCCCAACGCUAGCUAGCUGCUCUUAAGUCUCGAUCCAAGACUUGCUAUAAUAAGAUCGUCACCUGUUUUCAUGAGCCCAGCUCGUGGGUUUGAUGAUUUAAGGAUUAGGGUGGCUAGAGCCGCAGCUUCUGGUGGUUGUUGAGGUUGUGGAGUGAGGUUGGUUGUGGUGAUCGUAAAGGGGUAGGGUUUUAGCGGCUGUGAUUUUUUGAGAGUUGAAAGAAGUAAAGAAUAAGCAUGUACCAUAUAAUUCAAUCACUCAUACUGAUGACAUAACUUCCAUAAACACAAUCUUAAUUCGUACAAAUUGCGCAAACCAAUAAAAAAAAAAGAGAGUACAAGGUCCGUCCUGAAACACAACAGGACAAGAUCGAUGAGACUGGUAACCAAUAAGUGGCUAUUUUCUUCUAUAUAGAAAGUAGAGCAGAGAUAUCAUGGUGAAGACAACUCCUUCCAGCAAUAUAAACUGACCAGAUGAUCAGGAUCGAUCGUGUGCUUGUUUAGUGAAGCCAUCUACUCUUGUGAGGAAGACAAGGCCAAUAUGUCCGGAUCUUGUUGGAAGUGAAGCAUAUCAAUUUCCUUUAAGGUCAUCCAUGCCUCAAUUCCGUCUCCAAAUUUGUCGUCCUUCAGAAUACUAACAUCUAUAGGAAAAUUCAUUGCACUCAUCCAUGCAGGCUUUCCCCAGCCAAAGUUUGCUUCCUCCAUACCCAGCCUACACCAGCUUGAGAACUUGAAUGUAUCUACUUCACCCUUGUUCAAUUCUUCAAACAACUCUUUAUGGUACUUAGUUACCAUUGAAAACACAUCGUCGCUGUUUACUGCAUUUGCGCAAUCUGAAAUGGCUUUCCUCUUAGCAUCCCUCAGGAGACUCGCAAUGUCACUCAACUCUAACCUAUUGCUCUCACCAUUUGCAUUGAAUCUAGAAAUGAAAGGCAUAUACAUGUUCCCACAAGCAUUUUCAGGUAAAGGCAUAGUCACCUUUCCUCUCAGCGUCAUUAGCUGGCGCACUGAUGAUGCUCUCAGGUGUCCGUGCUGUGCUUUAACUGAACCAAUGAGAGCCUUCCAUAUAAGUGCUGUGACCACCUCUAAGCGCGAAUGAUGGUACUUGACUCCUGAAUCGGUGCCACCACUAAUUUUAGAUUUCAGCUUGUCUAUGGCUUCCUUGUUAAACACAAAUACUUUUGUGACAAUCUUAGGUUGAACUUUUGGUACUGCUGGUGGAAAAUUGAGACGUAAAUCUCUUUGUGGGAAGAGAAAUGGGCAAUCAAAUCUUGGACGACGAACCUGAUCACUUAUCCCACGUUCUCGGAAUGCUGUAGCCCAUGCAUUGAUGAAUGUGGAGAUUGUUGGUAUAUCAGCUAACCUGUGCGAAGUGAGCAAGCCGAUCGCUAAACCUCCACACUUAAACUUGUUGAUUUGGAUGGCUAAUAAACGACCAGUGUCUGAUGCAGUUACACAAGGAACAAAAUGAUCCAGCAGAUCAAGAUUGCUAUUGGGGUCUUGUUGGAUAAUUUGUGUGAGGUCUACCCCAUCUACUUUGGCUUCCAGGAACUCCACCCCUUCAUCAUUACAAUCAACUGAGAGAUUAUCUUCGAUGUAUCUUCCUGCUAGAGGGUAAAAGAGGGUUAAUAUUUCGGACAAAGAUUUCUCUAGAUCUUCGAUGUUAUUGACAUGGUGGUUGUUAGGAUAGUAGAAAAUAUUGGGUACAUUCAGUGAAGGAGCAAGCUGAUCGAGAAAUGAUAUGUUCAGAUUCUGAAGGUGAGGAGGAGUUUGAACCGAUGGUUUUAUUAGCUUUCUAGAUAUGAGCUGAACCUCCAUUGCCAGCUUGCUGUAUUUCGCCUCGAUCAUUGCCUUUCCCCCUUUUAAUAGCUACGUACUGAGAUGGUAGGUGGAAGUUGAGUAGGAACUUGAAAGUUUGAUGAAGUGAUCAACCUAAUCUCUUAGAUUAUUUGUUUAUUGUUUCCAUGUAUUUCCUUUGACUUAAUUUGGUAUAGAACUUAUGUAUGCUUGUGUAGGAAGAAAAUCUAACGGUUCAUAAAGGUAUAGAACUUGUGUAUGCUUGUGUAGGAAGAAAAUCUAACGGAUUCAUUUAUGAACCAGUGAAAUACAAUAUGUUAAGUCUAAGAUUUUGUGCUAACAGAUUCAUUUAUUUUCAGCUUUAUUGUUGUUUCAACACCACGAUAUCCUCAGAUUCAUUUAUUUUCAGCUUAAUUUUAGAUUUUAUUCCUAAUUCUUUUUCUUUUUUAUCUAGGAUUCUAAUUUUUCUACUUUGUAAAGUUCAGUUUUUUUCACCUAUUUAAGAAGUUAUAAAAUUUAUCAGAGAGGCAUAAUACAUGUCCGAGAUAAUUAUUCAGAAAUAAAAUACAAAUCCAUCUACCCCAUUUGAACUUCGCUUUUGCAAUUCCCAGUCAAUCAUAAAGAAAGUUCAAUGCGUCAAUUUUGAAAACCCAAAUUGGAAACGGAAACGAGAGAUGAAGACAAGUUCAACGCGUCAAUUUUGCAAGAACCCUGUUUCUGGUAUUUUCUUUAUUCUUCUGAACACAGCAAGAGUGACUGACUUUAUCCUGGAAGUGUAAUGAUGAUGUGGCGUCCUCUGGGGCGUGGUCUGGUGGUAAAAGACUUGAGAUCUACAUGGCAGGUCUCGAGUUCGAGUCAGAACAUAUAAUUCUUAUAAAAAUCUGGAACAGCUGAUGUUUUACUCACUCACCUAUACCACAAAGUAUGCUUUCCGAAAGAUGAGGUUUCUUCAAAUAAAAAAGUAAUAAUAAUGCGGCAUUUGCAGAAGGGUUUGGACACUGAUAUGGCUAUCUUUAUUUUCCUUGCAUGCCAACACAGUGUCUUCGUCUUCAUCUGUGGACACUUUAAUUGUUCUGUUCAUCAUAAAGGAAGAUGCUGGGAGGUUGGCUCCAGCCUCCACUUUUGACCUCUGUAUAUCAAACAAAUUAUAGGGGACAGUGACCGGAAAUGAGAGGGCCGAUAGGCCAUGGCAAAGAAUUGGCUACCUCCAUUCUCAAUUAUUGGCAAUACUUAAAUUAACAUUACUGUAACUUUGAUGUUAAUUGCUGCCCAGAGGCAAGCAUAUCUUUUGUUUCACCUCAGCAAGUUCUUUUUUUAGUUACAGUAAUGUUAAUUAAGUAUUGCCAAUAGAUAGGUAGGCUUGCGAUUCUCGAGUUUUUUUAGGGAUUAUUUCAACUUACAUCAUUGGAUGAUUUAAUACUCUUAUAAUGACACUAAAUUUUCCAUGUAAUUUUCAUAUUUCUUAUAAUCCUGUAUACAUAGAAAUGUGGUUUUUUUUUUUAAUUAAAAGCAAGUAAAUGUAUCUGAUAAAAAAUAUACAAAAUUGGAGAAUCAACAAGUUUAGGGUUAUUUUUUUUUAAUGUGGCUAGAGGUUGUUUUUUUUUUUUUCAUGUAAUUUUCACAUUUCUUUAUGUGAGUUGAUGUUAUUUCUUUUUAUUUUCUUUUCUUCUCCUUACUUUUCUCACUGUGGUGACUUUCCUCUCUCACUACAAAGAGAUUUUGGUUUUGGACUUGGAGAAUUUGGGUUCAAGAAGGGUUAAAGAAAACAAAUAGGCAUUACCUCUCCUUACUGUUUACAAUUAGAGAAUUGAAUGUGGAAGAGCCAAAGAAGAGUUGGGCUUUUAUUUUGAAUUUUUGUUUUCAUAAUUUAAGGGAUUCAAUCUAUGUAUUAGGAUGUUAGUUGGACUGAAACAAACUCGAUUAAUGUCUAAAUUAUAGGCUUGUAGAAGAACAGAAGGUUUAUUUUUUUAGGCUCUGUGAAUUGGAGACUAGCAGGUUAGGAUUUUGGGAAAUCCUAGCCAACCGAUCAAUCGGUUGGUCUAAACUAGCUGACUGAUUGGUUUGUGUAAUGGUCGACCGGCUAACCCUACAAUAGUAGUUAAUCGGUCUAUUAUGUUCGAAAUCAAUUAAGUGAAUCGGUUCAGCUUUAUUAUUAUGAUUUCGUUUCUAAGUUUAGGGCUUUCAUAUUUUAUAUUAUGUUACUUUGAGUCAUUUUUUAGUUUUUUUUUUAUAUUUGUUAUAGGUUUUAUUGACGUUCCUCCUACCAAGCCUUAGAAAUCUUCGAUUUUGCAUUCGUUUAUUUUUUUUAUUUUAUUUUUCGAGUGAGUGGGAUAAUUUCUAUUAUGUAUUAUACAUACAUAUAUAGGAGGCCAAUCCAUACACUACUGACACCCUACUCACGAACUAGAAAAUAAAUAUCAUGUACAUACAAGCUAAUAACUCUAUGUUAGCAUGAUUUACCUUUAAAUUUAAAAAAUAAAUUGAUGAAUUAACAUUAACUAAAAACAUUUUGUGAAAUAAUAUAUUUUUGGUUUGUCACAAUUAUAAUCAUGAUAUAUAUUAAAUAUCAUAUUUUUAAAUUGCAAUAAAUAAUUGAUAUUAUAAUUAAAAAGUAAAAUUUUAAUUAAUUUGAUGAUUUUCAACUACAACAUCAAUUAAUUGUUGUUUCAAUAUCAAUUUUCAUCUAUUUUAGUUGAAGUUUAUACUCAAAGAAAUUUAUCAAAGCUUGCUGUACAAGCUGUUUUAAUGCAGACACGACAUUCUAGAAAAUUUACAGUGGUUUCUUUAGACGCAAUUAAGGAAUCAGUUUGUCUGGGUAAUAUGAUAUUUACUAAAUAUUAUUUUAAAAAAAUACAAACAAUAUUAUUAUGUAAUUUUUUUUUUAUUAUUGUGCUAAUUAAAAAAAAUCGUAAAAAAAUAGUACAGUGAAAGCUACCGAACCUCGAACAAGGGAGCUUGAUCAUGGGAACCGUGAAUCCCAUACCCAACUGUUGUUUCCUGGUUUCUAUGCUCGAUCAUGUGUGUGUCUUUCCAUUUUGUUUAUUUUUCUUUUUCAAUUUUUUCUUUAUUUUUAAUUUAGCCCUUGAUUGUCAUAUUCAGUCAAUUUUGGAUUGAUUUUUCAAGACUUCUUUCAAGUAAGCCCUGGAUAACAUUCAUAAUCAUCCUUCAAUAUUGAGACCUUUUACACUUCAGCUCUUGGAUGUUUAUUUUGUACAAUUUUUUUCUUCAAUUAGGCUCCUAAUGGAAUUAAUAUGGUCGUCAUAUCCUAGCAUCUAUUUCAUUUUGAUCCUUGAUCUUUUGAUUAUUCUAAUUAUGAUCAAAUAUUUUGACUCUAAAUUUCAAUCUUCCUUUUCAAUUGAGCCCUUAAUCAAACCAUUUAAAUCCUCAAAUUUCAAUGGCCCUUCCAUUUUGUUCUUUGGUCCUUUAAUUUUGGUCAAAAGGACUCCAAAUUUUAAGUUUUUCUUCAAUUAAGCCCCUAAUUGAGUUAAUUGAAAUUCCAAACUUUUCCAUCUCUUUUAUUGUGGUCAUUGACUUGUAAAUUUAGCCAAUUUUUCCCUUAAUUCAAAAUCUUCUCCUCAAUUACGCUCUCAACUAAAAUAAUAUGACUUCAAAAUUUAAUUUGCCAUCCUUUUUAUUUUGGUUAUUGGUCUUUUAUUUCUUUUAGCUAUGAUCAAUUUAAACACUUUCUUCAAUUAAACCCCAAAUUACAUACCCACAUAACUUGUUGACCAACUACAAAAUAAAUUCUUGUCUAAUUACAGCCCGAAGUUAUAUUUUAUUUUUAAAAUUCCACAUCAUUGCACAACCUUUUUUUUUCUUUUCAAAAUUCUAUAUAUUUCGUUUGACAUUCUGUUGGUAUAUACCAACAGAAUAAUUCUAUCAGAAUAUAUCAACGGUUUUACCGAUUGAUUUACAUUCGUCAGUAAAUAUCACCAUAAACUAUCAACAUAAAAAUUUCAUCGAUAAUUCCAUUGAUUUUGGUCAAAUUUCUAAUAAUGUUUCAAGAUGUUUAAUAUUACUGAGAAGCAUAAUCAUACUGUAGAUUUAUUGGCUAAUUAAGCAAGCAUGGAGAAGAAUUGUUUUGUGCAAUUUGCUUCCUUGUCCACCAUAAGUUUAUUGAAAGUUUCUAAAUACUUAGAGUUUUUUUGUUUAGAUAAUCUCAUUGUUGAUAUUUUAAAUUGUUUGAUGUAUAUUUAUAGUCAGAUUUUAAUAAUAAAUAUUUUAAAAAUACAUUAAAAUAUUUUUUUUAACUUUUUUUUGUUUUUAACAUCACCAUAAUAAAAUCAUGGAAUAGCUUGUUUAGAAUCAAAUCAUUAGUGGAAUUUAAUUCAAUUUCAUACAUGAAUUGAAAUUAAAAAAUAAUAUAUUAUAAUUCUUAAAUCCCGUAAUUGAAUUUAAUUUAAACACAUAUGGGAUGAUGAAUUGAAUUGGCUAUUUUGCUUUUAAUUUAGAAAUAAAUUUGAUACAAAAUCAACAACAUAGAUAAAACGUGGAUAUGCAUAUCAUUGGAUUCACCGAAUCAAGUCAUUUUUUUUUUUAGUUUUUCCUGAAUUUGAAGUCCACUACGACUCUGAUAUUUUCAAGAACUGAAGACAUUAACGAGAAAUGAAGACAAGUUCAAUGCAUCAAUUUUGCAAGAACCCUACUUUGCAGUAUUUAUGAUAUUUUCAUUAUUAUUCUGAAGACAGCAAGAGUGACUGAUUUUGCCUGAUGGGAUCGUAACAUGGAAUGAGGGGACCAGUGGGCCAGAUAGGACAAAGAAUUGACUAAAAAAAGAUAAAAUACUUAAUUAACAUGACUGUAACUUUGAUGUUGAUGCCCAACCAAUCCUAAGGCAAGCAAUUUUGACUUAUUGAUAUAGAUAAAACAGCACGGGAAAAUCACAGUCACACACAAGAAAGAUAAAAUUAGUUGAAUUAUGCAUUUAUUAUUGAAUAUUUUUUUUAAUGUGAUUUACUUUUUAAAGGUUUGCAGCUGUUUAAAUAGAUAAAAAUUCAAUCUUUAUAAAUAACGAAAAUGAAAAUUUUAAGCCAAAUAAAAAAGUCAAUAUAUAAUUCAAAAUCAAGUUACCAAUAAAAAAUAAAAAGAAAUAUAAUAAAAUUGGUUAAAACAUCAUCUUUCAAACUUAAUUUAAGAGGCUUUGACGUGAACAAAAAUAACACAAGAAAUAGUUCAAGCACAAGCAACAUAAAAUUUCAUUGAAUAGAAUCACCAUCCAAAAACUCUAAUUUUUUUUACUAAAUAUUUAUUUUUACAUAAUUUAUUGAAAUACAAACUAAACAACUUAUUAGGGAAUACUAAUAUAUCACUGAAUUCUCAAUGAUAUUUAUUCUAAUAAAGAAGCUUGUUUACUCAUGUUUUUAAAAUGAAUUCUAAAAUUUAGUUAUGAAUUCAUGAUCAUUUUCUUUGCAAUUCUCUAGUCUUCUUCUUUUUAUUAAUAAAUAAUUGAAUAAGUCUUCACUUGUCUUUGUAAUUUUUUUUUAUUAACGUGGAUGUUCGGACUAGCUUGCACGUACCUCGACUAAUCUCACGGGUCUUAAAAUUAACUAUCAUAUAAAUAAUCACAGAGCUCAAAUCUAAAACCAAAAAAAAAAAAAGAAAGAGAGAGAUGACUAUCUCCUUUUCUCACCAUGGUCCAUCAAUGACUUUAGAAUACAUUAAAGUCUUUGGGAUACAACCUAUUUCCUUCAUUCUUUGUUUUCAGUGUUAUCCAAUGAAUUGGUCGCUAGUAUUAAAUGUCCGGCUUGUUUAUUUUUUUUGUUUUAAAUUUUUUUAAAAAAAUAUUUAAAUUUUUUAUUUAUUUAUUUCAAAUUAAUAUAUUUUUAGUAUUUUAAAAUUAUUUUGAUAUACUAAUGGAGCAUCCUCGGGGCCCCUACUCUGUUCGUUCAUGGACAGGCAGCAAGCAAGUUCGUCUUCAGUGGCGACAGCAACACUCUGGGCAGUCAGCAGCCAUCGUCGAUAAGUAGGGUUUGCGGUUGGGAGGAAUAUCCUGGAACUAAGUGGCCAUGACCAUAAACGCGUAAGGGGCGCUCUCUUGUCUUUCUUAAAGCCUGAAGUUCUGAAGCAAUAUGUUAGUAAGAUGGAUGAAGAGAUUAGAAAGCAUUUCGAGAUGCAUUGGCGCGGCAAGAAAAAAUGUUUUGGUCAGUGAAUUUUAUCUAAAAAAAGCUAACCUCCACUGAUUAUAUAUAUCACAAGUAAUAUUUUGUGUUUUUGCAGCUUUGAUGCCUUUUAUAUCUGAUUUAUCUCUUGACAACAUAGGCAAUGCCAUCGAUUAAGACCCUCACCUUCAAUAUUAUGAGCUCGCUGAUUAUUGGGAUAGAGGAAAGUGCAAAAAGAGACAUACUCCUACAGCUCUUCGAACAACUAAUGGAGGGUGUUCUAUCAGUACCAUUCAAUUUUCCCUUCACACGAUUCAAUCGAAGCCUCCAAGCAAGUGGGAAAAUCAGACCGAUUUUAGAGGAUCUUAUCCGAGAAAAAAGAGCUGCAUUGGAGCAUGGAACUGCCUUUCCUCAACAAGAUCUUAUCACGACCUUGCUUAGUCUCCGAAACGAGGAGAAUUCAGCAGUAUUAACUGAUGAGGAAAUUAUAGAUAAUGCAAUCGUGAUAAUGAUAGCAGGCUAUGACACCUCCUCCGUCCUCCUCAGUUUGUUGAUCAGGCUUUUAGCCGAUGAUCCAUCU
rnacentral:lncRNA from 1 species